GAUGAACGCUAGCGGCAGGCUUAAUACAUGCAAGUCGAGGGGCAGCAUGGUUGUAGCAAUACAACUGAUGGCGACCGGCAAACGGGUGCGGAACACGUACGCAAUCGACCCAAAACUGAUGAAUAGCCCUCCGAAAGGAGGAUUAAUACAUCGUAACAUAAUUGAAUGGCAUCAUUUUAAUUAUUAUAGCUCCGGCGGUUUUGGAUGAGCGUGCGCCNGAUUAGGUAGUUGGCGGGUAACGGCCCACCAAGCCUGCGAUCAGUAACUGGUGUGAGAGCACGACCAGUCACACGGGCACUGAGACACGGGCCCGACUCCUACGGGAGGCAGCAGUAAGGAAUAUUGGUCAAUGGACGCAAGUCUGAACCAGCCAUGCCG
rnacentral:rRNA from 1 species